GUGGGUGGCUGGCGAUGCCGCCACCGACCAUUCUCCUCUUGUCGUUGUUGCUCCGGGGCCGAUUAAGCCCCGGUUUUUUUUG
rnacentral:ncRNA from 1 species